GACGUCGAUAUUCGACGUCAUAAACACGAACAACUUUGGUAUUUAUGACGUCGAUAUUCGACGUCAUAAACACGAUCAACUUUGGUGUUUAUGACGUCGAUAUUCGACGUCAUAAACACGAUCAACUUUGGUGUUUAUGACGUCGAUAUUCGACGUCAUAAACACGAACAACUUUGGUGUUUAUGACGUCGAUAUUCGACGUCAUAAACACGAUCAACUUUGGUGUUUAUGACGUCGAUAUUCGACGUC
rnacentral:miRNA from 1 species